UGGCUGAGCGGUAAAGCGCUUUGUUUCUAAACCAAAGGUGCCGGGUUCGAAUCCUGG
rnacentral:tRNA from 1 species